UACGGGAGGCAGCAGUGGGGAAUAUUGCACAAUGGGCGCAAGCCUGAUGCAGCCAUGCCGCGUGUAUGAAGAAGGCCUUCGGGUUGUAAAGUACUUUCAGUCGUGAGGAAGGUGUUAAGGUUAAUAACCUUAGCAAUUGACGUUAGCGACAGAAGAAGCACCGGCUAACUCCGUGCCAGCAGCCGCGGUAAUACGGAGGGUGCGAGCGUUAAUCGGAAUUACUGGGCGUAAAGGGCACGCAGGCGGUUAAUUAAGUUGGAUGUGAAAUCCCCGGGCUUAACCUGGGAAUGGCAUUCAAGACUGGUUAGCUAGAGUCUUGUAGAGGGGGUAGAAUUCCAUGUGUAGCGGUGAAAUGCGUAGAGAUGUGGAGGAAUACCGGUGGCGAAGGCGGCCCCUGGGACAAAGACUGACGCUCAUGUGCGAAAGCGUGGGGAGCAAACAGGAUUUAGAUACC
rnacentral:rRNA from 1 species